GGUGAUUCUUGGGUGACACACCCCAGAAUCAGGCUCUCUCCUCUCAGGUUCCAGCGUGUGUCACCUGAGAACUGCC
rfam:Myotis davidii contig140616, whole genome shotgun sequence.